rnacentral:rRNA from 1 species
UACGGAGGGGGCCAGCGUUGUUCGGAAUUAUUGGGCGUAAAGGGCGCGUAGGCGGCCGGGUAAGUCUGAUGUGAAAUCCCACGGCUCAACCGUGGAACUGCAUCUGAAACUGUUCGGCUUGAGUCCGGGAGAGGGUAGUGGAAUUCCCAGUGUAGCGGUGAAAUGCGUAGAUAUUGGGAGGAACACCGGUGGCGAAGGCGGCUACCUGGACCGGUACUGACGCUGAUGCGCGAAAGCUAGGGUAGCAAACAGG